UAUUAUAUUAUUAUAUCACAUUAUGAAACGAUACUGUGGGAAUAAAUGCGUAAUAAAACACUAAACUGAGCAGAACUACUUUGAUAAGCGGAAGAAGAUGUGGUCAAGAGCACACACAUCUCAA